UCCAAGUUUUAUUAGAAAUUAGUGAUUCCAUUUCAUCAUUUACAGCCUCUUUCCAAAAAAUAGAAUCAUGUGAAGAUAAUGCUUCUUUCAAAGUAAGAGGGUCAUCUCCAACAUUAAACACAUAAAAAUCAGGACCAAAAUCUUUUUCUACUCUAGCUCUUUUACUUCUUCUUAACUCAAAAUCAUCAACUUCUUUAUUUUUCAAAGUAGAAGUAGAAGAACUAGGUAGUGACAAAAUAUUUUGUUCAAUCCUUUGACCCCCACUAUUUUUAGAAUCAAAAGGAAAUUUAUUCUCAUGAAAAAU
rnacentral:lncRNA from 1 species